AACGAACGCUGGCGGCAUGCCUAACACAUGCAAGUCGAACGAGACCUUCGGGUCUAGUGGCGCACGGGUGCGUAACGCGUGGGAAUCUGCCCUUGGGUACGGAAUAACAGUUAGAAAUGACUGCUAAUACCGUAUGAUGACUUCGGUCCAAAGAUUUAUCGCCCAGGGGAUGAGCCCGCGUCGGAUUAGCUAGUUGGUAGGGUAAAAGCCUACCAAGGCGACGAUCCGUAGCUGGUCUGAGAGGAUGAUCAGCCACACUGGGACUGAGACACGGGCCCAGACUCCUACGGGAGGCCUG
rnacentral:rRNA from 1 species